ACAGUUGGAAAGUCAGGGUCGUUGUGGACUGGAGAAGCAUUUUAUCUACUUUUCUGGAUGGAUUUCAAAAAUUUAGUUUUGGCGUUUGGUCAUUACCAACAAGACCAAUGUAUGUUGCCGAUCCCCAGGCGCCUGUGGGGAAGAUGAUGUCUGAGUUUCUUGAACCCCUGCUGCCGUCCCUAUGGUGCAGGUGCUCCUGCAAAGCAGAUUUUAAGCGCCCUCGUCAUGCGAUCACGAACAAGCAGCAAAAACAGGAUUAUCGACCCUAAAACAGGAGCAGGAAUAGGUUAAAGUCGCACACGAAUAUAUCCGUGAUGUGGUUGCACGCAACCGUAAUUCAGAAUGCCACUGAUGAUAGGGCAUUACCUUUAGGUAUUGCAUUGCCACAAUGAUGAUGAUAACUAAGGAAGGAAUACAGACCAAAGAUGUGGCUAUGCUGAAUACUACCAAGACAAUGGACUUCUCGUGGAACAACAAAAGAAAUUGUAACCUUACCACACAAUGAAAUAUUGACUUUAAGAACGCUGUUACAACAAUCUAUUUCUGAAUGAAUUGUUAUUUUGAGCUGACAUUCUGUGGCCUGAAAGGAUUGAUGGAAGAUAAGUGAGCAUUUCUGAUUCAAACCUCCCUUCAUGGAAGUAGGAAAGAUACAAACAAAUAUACAAACAUCUUCAUAAUUAAAGUGGUGUCCCUAUGGGCAUUAUCUG